GAUGAACGCUGGCGGCGUGCCUAAUACAUGCAAGUCGAGCGAAUAGAUGAGGAGCUUGCUCCUCUGACGUUAGCGGCGGACGGGUGAGUAACACGUGGAUAACCUACCUAUAAGACUGGGAUAACUUCGGGAAACCGGAGCUAAUACCGGAUAAUAUAUUGAACCGCAUGGUUCAAUAGUGAAAGACGGUUUUGCUGUCACUUAUAGAUGGAUCCGCGCCGCAUUAGCUAGUUGGUAAGGUAACGGCUUACCAAGGCAACGAUGCGUAGCCGACCUGAGAGGGUGAUCGGCCACAUUGGAACUGAGACACGGUCCAGACUCCUACGGGAGGCAGCAGUAGGGAAUCUUCCGCAAUGGGCGAAAGCCUGACGGAGCAACGCCGCGUGAGUGAUGAAGGUCUUCGGAUCGUAAAACUCUGUUAUUAGGGAAGAACAAAUGUGUAAGUAACUAUGCACGUCUUGACGGUACCUAAUCAGAAAGCCACGGCUAACUACGUG
rnacentral:rRNA from 1 species